CGCGUAGGCGGUCCCGCAAGCAGUGCGUGAAAUCCCACGGCUCAACCGUGGAAUUGCGCUCUGGACUGCGGUUCUAGAGUGCGGGAGGGGGUGCGGAACUCUAGGUGUAGCGGUGAAAUGCGUAGAUAUCUAGAGGAACACCGGUGGCGAAAGCGACACCCUGGCCCGCAACUGACGCUGAGGCGCGAAAGCGUGGGUAGCAAACA
rnacentral:rRNA from 1 species